CUGUCCUCAUCAUCCACAACAAUGGCGUUCAUCACCCUCUUCAUCUACUCUCUGCUCCUCUACAUCCAAGACUGCAGGGCACAGGUGACCGUUACUCAAACUCCAGCCAUAUCGACCAGUCCAGGGGGCACAGUCACAAUCAGCUGUAAACGCAGUGGAAGCUUGUAUGACCCCUGUGGCACACCGUCAUGCAUCUCCUGGUACCAACAGCAGUAUGGGGAGAAACCCAAACUCCUCAUCUAUAGAGUGAACAGGCUCCAGUCUGGUAUUCCAUCUCGGUUUAGUGGCAGUGGAUCUGGGUAUGACUACAGUCUGACCAUCAGUGGAGUCCAGAGUGAAGAUGCAGGAGAUUAUUACUGCAUGAGUGCUCAUAGAAUUGAUAGCAGUACAUGGCAGUUCAUACAGUGA